rnacentral:rRNA from 1 species
CGCCAUGGGAUGGGGAUGCGUAGGAUUAGGUUGUCGGCGGGGUGACGGCCCACCGAGCCUUCGAUCCUAGGGGUUCUGAGAGGAAGGCCCCCACACUGGUACUGAGACACGGACCAGACUCCUACGGAGGCAGCAGUGAGGAAUAUUGGUCAAUGGGCGGAAGCCUGAACCAGCCAAGUAGCGUGCAGGACGACGGCCCUACGGGUUGUAAACUGCUUUAUGCGGGAUAAGGAGGGACGUGUCCCUUUGCAGGUACCGCAUGAAUAAGGACCGGCUAAUUCCGUGCC